AGUGAACGCUGGCGGCAGGCCUAACACAUGCAAGUCGAACGGCAGCACAGUAAGAGCCCGCCUUUACGGGUGGCGAGUGGCGGACGGGUGAGGUAUACAUCGGCAUCUACUUUUUCGUGGGUGACAACGUAGGGUAACUUACGCUACUACCGCAUACGACCAACGGGGGAAAUCAGUGGUCCAUCGGACCUUGCUCGAUCUAAUUACCCGAUUUCGGAUUAUCUAGUUGGCGAGGUAACGGCCCACCAAGGCGACGAUCCGUAGCUGCUCUGAGAGGAUGAUCCGCCCCACUGGAACUGAGACACGGUCCAGACUCCUACGGGCGGCAGCAGUGGGGAAUAUUCGGCAAUGGGCGCACGCCUUAUCCAGCCAUACCGCGUGAGUGAAGAAGGCCUUCGGGUUGUAAAGCCCUUUUGUUGGGAAAGACAAGCAGCGGAUUAAUACCCCGCUGUUCUGACGGUACCCAAAGAAUAAGCACCGGCUAACUUCGUG
rnacentral:rRNA from 1 species